GUGAGGCCUGAAGGCAGGUACCCUUUGAAGGAGGUCUGGGACCUUAGGGAAGGGGAGAGAAGGUUGAUUCUUCUUCAGUGAUGUGUUUGAGGAAGUAAGAGCUAUAGCUGGAGCAGAGGAAGCUGCAGACAAAGUGCCCAGCCCUGUGAGAAUUGGGAGGAUCUUUGUGUAGGAAACUGUGAGACACUGAAAGUUUGUCCCUGAGCCUCUGUGGGGAGUGGGAUACCAUCAGAACAACUUGUGAAAAACAAAAGUUGUUUCACAUGGUCAUUCUAGACAGUAGUUCGUAUUUCUGUCUGCUCCAGUCCCAUUACCUCUUGUAUGAUUCCAAAACUUUGGCCUAUGCAGGAAGAGUCUGGUACUACAGCUGAUCCAAUCUUACCAGCGGAUGCCAGGCAACGCCAUGGUAAGGGGCUUCCGGGUAUCCUAUAAACGACACGUGCUCACCAUGGAUGACUUGGGUACCUUAUAUGGACAGAACUGGCUCAAUGACCAGGUAAGAGGAGGAAGCUAAAAAGGCUUGAAAAGGCUUUUGGAGAAUGGAGCCUUUUGCAUAGGGGAACCCUUUACCCAUGCCACAUUCUCCAGGGCACAUUGCCUUUUUCCCCAGGUGAUGAACAUGUAUGGAGACUUGGUUAUGGACACAGUCCCUGAAAAGGUGCAUUUCUUCAACAGUUUCUUCUAUGAUAAACUCCGUACCAAGGGUUAUGAUGGGGUAAAGAGGUGGACCAAAAAUGUGAGUUAUACAUUUACAACUAUUUGUAUAGCAUCUUGUUUCUAAAGAAAAUUUAAGAGUUUUUCUUUCUAUGAGUCCUUUCCCCAACUGGUAAUUAUUCUACAACAUUAAAUGUCUUAUCUACAUCUGUAGUAAGGCCUUCCACAUAGUAGUCAUCCUGUGCAGUCUGGGAAACAGGGUUUGAAGCAAAAGGAAUAGCAAAUACUUCAGAGCCAGAGAGAAAAUGAAUAUUUUGACACAGUGACUAAGGUGUGAGGCAUGUAAGGUAGAGUGACAAGGAUGGAGGUUGUUCUAUGUUUCUUGUGUGGAUGUAAGUGCAUGCCAUCCCCCCAAGAAAGUAGCUACAACUGUAGCCAUAUGUCACUCACCCUUGGACCAUAACCCCAGCCCGAGCCUCAGGAUUUAGUUUUUUGUGCUCAGAAUUAUUCAGAGACCUGUUGAGUCUUGUUUCUUCCAGUAGAAGCAAAAGUGAUGUACAGUCUAAACCUCCUUAGCCUUCGGUGUAUCUGAGAUAAAUGUAAAGGUGCUUGUGCCAAGCCUGAGUUUGAUCCCUGGGACUCACAUGGUGGAAGGAGAGAAGCAGCUUGUCCUCUGACUUCCACACAUGUAACUCUGGCAUGUAUACCCCCUUCCUCUCAAUAAUAAAAAUGUAAU
rnacentral:lncRNA from 1 species